rnacentral:rRNA from 1 species
UACAGAGGGUGCAAGCGUUAAUCGGAAUUACUGGGCGUAAAGCGCGCGUAGGUGGUUUGUUAAGUUGGAUGUGAAAUCCCCGGGCUCAACCUGGGAACUGCAUUCAAAACUGACAAGCUAGAGUAUGGUAGAGGGUGGUGGAAUUUCCUGUGUAGCGGUGAAAUGCGUAGAUAUAGGAAGAACACCAGUGGCGAAGGCGACCACCUGGACUGAUACUGACACUGAGGUGCGAAAGCGUGGGGAGCAAACAGG